GCACUAAUCCUCCCAGGGGAACCUGGCCCUUAAUUCGAUGAUCCACGAACCUCUUACCUUCCCUAGCUUUACGUGCCUACAAAGCCGUAAAACCCAGCUUGCAUACCGCCGUUGUUCAGCCUAUACCGCAAGGGGACACAAAUAGGCAACGCAGCAGGCUAAGCCUGCUACCAAUUCAGGUAAACGUGUAGCCCAUGGGAAGGGGCUGCUGGGUUGCACUGUCAACUUUCCGCGGAUCUUCACGCAAAUGUGUGAAGAGAAGAAGGACUUGGAAGUAAUGACUUCACCCACAGAAGUUGUGAAUGCGGCUCUAGUGCGUGU
rnacentral:rRNA from 1 species